rnacentral:lncRNA from 1 species
AUAAAGUCGUGUGUGCUCAUUCUUCUCCUGCCCCUACUGUGUGCAGAAAGAGCUCAGGGGCUAAACUGCUACAAUUGCACGAUGAUCCCAUUUGGUAAUACCUGCUCAUCAACUGCUACCUGCUCCUACCCUGAUGGAGUCUGUGCUAUUCAGGUGGCAGAAGUUGUCAUGGUUGCAUGUAAAGACACAUGUGCACACACAUGUGGAUGUGCAGGCCCUGGGGAGGUGAAGAUUUCCUGUUGCAAUACAGAUCUUUGCAACGCAGCAGGGCCCACUGGAGGCAGCACCUGGACCAUGGCAAGGGUGCUUCUGUUCAGCCUGGGCUCCGUCCUCCUGCAGAUCUUGCUUGAGGGCUCCUCCAAGGCC